rnacentral:rRNA from 1 species
UCCGUAGGUGAACCUGCGGAGGGAUCAUUACCGAGUUUACAACUCCCAAACCCCUGUGAACAUACCUUAUGUUGCCUCGGCGGAUCAGCCCGCGCCCCGUAAAAAGGGACGGCCCGCCGCAGGAACCCUAAACUCUGUUUUUAGUGGAACUUCUGAGUAUAAAAAACAAAUAAAUCAAAACUUUCAACAACGGAUCUCUUGGUUCUGGCAUCGAUGAAGAACGCAGCAAAAUGCGAUAAGUAAUGUGAAUUGCAGAAUUCAGUGAAUCAUCGAAUCUUUGAACGCACAUUGCGCCCGCCAGUAUUCUGGCGGGCAUGCCUGUUCGAGCGUCAUUUCAACCCUCAAGCCCAGCUUGGUGUUGGGAGCUGCAGUCCUGCUGCACUCCCCAAAUACAUUGGCGGUCACGUCGAGCUUCCAUAGCGUAGUAAUUUACACAUCGUUACUGGUAAUCGUCGCGGCCACGCCGUUAAACCCCAACUUCUGAAUGUUGACCUCGGAUCAGGUAGGAAUACCCGCUGAACUUAAGCAUAUCAAUAAGCGG